AUACUUUCUAUUUCUAGUUAGAUUAAAAAUACAUAUUUCAUACAUCUCAUUCACAACAUAUUUAACUCAAUCUAUUGAAAUACAAGUAGGGUUAGUAUAAAACUUAUCCCCCUUUGUCAAGAAUUUCUUCCUUUCUUCUUCAUUUCUUUUCCUUCCUCAUCUUCACCUCUUUCUUUCCCUUAAUUGAUGAACAUAUUCUCUAAAAUCUCAACUUCAUCUUUUCUCUUUGGUGUCUAAGGAAAUUUUCAUGAAUUUUUGGUGAAAAUGUGGGUUUUCAUGGUAAAGGACUAAAUUGUAAAAAAAACACAACUUUCUCUUCCCUAGC
rnacentral:lncRNA from 1 species